AUGAACUUAGCUUGCUAAGUUUGAUGGCGACCGGCGCACGGGUGAGUAACACGUAUCCAACCUGCCGAUGACUCGGGGAUAGCCUUUCGAAAGAAAGAUUAAUACCCGAUGGCAUAGUUCUUCCGCAUGGUGGAACUAUUAAAGAAUUUCGGUCAUCGAUGGGGAUGCGUUCCAUUAGGUUGUUGGCGGGGUAACGGCCCACCAAGCCUUCGAUGGAUAGGGGUUCUGAGAGGAAGGUCCCCCACAUUGGAACUGAGACACGGUCCAAACUCCUACGGGAGGCAGCAGUGAGGAAUAUUGGUCAAUGGACGAGAGUCUGAACCAGCCAAGUAGCGUGAAGGAUGACUGCCCUAUGGGUUGUAAACUUCUUUUAUACGGGAAUAAAGUGAGGCACGUGUGCCUUUUUGUAUGUACCGUAUGAAUAAGGAUCGGCUAACUCCGUGCCAGCAGCCGCGGUAAUACGGAGGAUCCGAGCGUUAUCCGGAUUUAUUGGGUUUAAAGGGAGCGUAGGCGGACGCUUAAGUCAGUUGUGAAAGUUUGCGGCUCAACCGUAAAAUUGCAGUUGAUACUGGGUGUCUUGAGUACAGUAGAGGCAGGCGGAAUUCGUGGUGUAGCGGUGAAAUGCUUAGAUAUCACGAAGAACUCCGAUUG
rnacentral:rRNA from 1 species